CUGAAUCCGGUAAUCAAUGGCCACUAGUACUUGUUGACAUUGGAACACACGACGAGAAGGAGGAUCGAGAGGCCGGCAGAGAGAUGGAUACUCUGGCAAAAUUCGCCCUGUAGAGUUUGAACAUGGGUCAAAUUGAGCGCUGGGGGAAGGGUUAACACAUGCAAGUCGAGCGGAGAUGAGGUGCUUGCACCUUAUCUUAGCGGCGGACGGGUGAGUAAUGCUUAGGAAUCUGCCUGGUAGUGGGGGACAACAUUCCGAAAGGAAUGCUAAUACCGCAUACGUCCUACGGGAGAAAGCAGGGGAUCUUCGGACCUUGCGCUAAUAGAUGAGCCUAAGUCGGAUUAGCUAGUUGGUGGGGUAAAGGCCUACCAAGGCGACGAUCUGUAGCGGGUCUGAGAGGAUGAUCCGCCACACUGGGACUGAGACACGGCCCAGACUCCUACGGGAGGCAGC
rnacentral:rRNA from 1 species